rnacentral:lncRNA from 1 species
UUCAAUUUGACAUGGCCCAGUGGUGUGCUGGAUGGGAAGAAACUUUUCCUGCACAACCUGGUGGGCUUCAGUGUGGGCCGUUCUCACCUCUCUGAGUAUCCCAAAUUUAUGGUGGCUUUGUCAGCUGGUCCACUGCUGGUUGGAUGGAUGGAUGGGUGGACAGAUGGAUGGAUGGGAUGCGUGGUUGGACAGGUGGUUGGAUGGACAGAUGGAUGGAUGGAUGGAUGGGUGGGUGAAUGGAUGGACAGAUGGACAGACGGAUGGAUGGAUGGAUGGAUGGAUGGAUGGAUGGAUGGAUGGAUGGAUGGAUGGAUGGGUGGGUGGGUGGAUGGAUGGAUGGGUGGAUGGAUGGAUGGAUGGAUGGAUGGAUGGAUGGAUGGAUGGAUGGUUGGACGGACGGAUGGACGGAUGGAUGGAUGGAUGGAUGGAUGGAUGGAUGGAUGGAUGGAUGGAUGGAUGGAGAUCACAUGGGAAUGGUGGGUCUGAUGGUAGAUCCAGACAUUGUUAAAGAUGAACAGUUUCCUAUUCAUUCAGAGGUUCAGAGAUUUAGUCUAUAGGCUCGGGAUGAUGUUGAGAGAGGAUCCCAUCACUUAGUCCAGGAAGGGAAAGUCCCCAAGCCAUACAGCUAUGCACUAUGGUCUGGAAGAGGUCAGUCCAGAAAAGACAGAUGCUGCUGGGUCCUCAGACACCUAUGCAGUGUUCACAGUGGCUUUUCCAAGGGUCUGCAUUCACUUUCACUGCCCCAGCAUUGCUGAACACCAGCCCAGAAUCCCUAGACAGAUGUGGGAUGCGAUGUGAUGGGUAUUGGUGGAUGUUCAACCUAAUCCAGUAGGAAGAGGAGGUGGGAAAAGCACAAAAGCCAAAAGGUUUGUGCAAAGCCACACACCAGGUGGUGAGAACAGAUCCUCCAUGCCCUCACUGUCCCCAAGCUCCUCCGGUUCCUGUGUUGGAUGAGCACUCAAAGGUGGGAGAUCCCAUUGGAAAUACAGCCAUGUGUCAUUGUGAAUUUUGCUCCUGCAAAGUACCCAGCUCUUUGCAGAUAUUUAAACCCCCCACAUCCUGAAAUCAUCAUUGCUAUGUCUUUUGUCACAUCUGGAGAUGGUUCUUCUAACAUCUGGAGAUGAUCAUGCAGGUGCCCAUGGUCCUUAUGAGACCUUUCAGGUGGGAGUCCCCAUCCCUGGGGGCAUUUAAGAGAUGUGUGGAUGUGGUACUGAGGGACAUGGUGUAGUGAUGGGACUCAGUAGGACAGGUUGAUGGUUGGGCUUUGUGAUCCUGAAGCUCUUCUCCAACCCAAAAGAUCCAUUCUAUGGCUCAUAAACACGGAGACCUCUCCCUUGAUUUGGUGCAGGACCGUGGAGACACUGUUCCCCAUUUGCUUGCAGGUGUGCAGAGGGAUGACAGUCAUCCACACUGUUCAGCUCUGUAUUCCCCAUCAACCUGGGCUCAGCCAACCCUCUCCACUGGCUUUGGGAUGAAGGGGAAGGUGUGAUGGCCCCACAGACCCCAAACUGCCUGGUUGCAGGGGAGAUGGCAGACUUGGCUCCACAGCAUGAUGCUGAGUGGCUUCCAGAUGAUGUAUCAGCCACCUACGUAGACAUCAAACAUAUUAACACAAUAAAGCUGCU